CUAACACAUGCAAGUCGAGCGGAAACGACACUAACAAUCCUUCGGGUGCGUUAAUGGGCGUCGAGCGGCGGACGGGUGAGUAAUGCCUAGGAAAUUGCCUUGAUGUGGGGGAUAACCAUUGGAAACGAUGGCUAAUACCGCAUAAUGCCUACGGGCCAAAGAGGGGGACCUUCGGGCCUCUCGCGUCAAGAUAUGCCUAGGUGGGAUUAGCUAGUUGGUGAGGUAAUGGCUCACCAAGGCGACGAUCCCUAGCUGGUCUGAGAGGAUGAUCAGCCACACUGGAACUGAGACACGGUCCAGACUCCUACGGGAGGCAGCAGUGGGGAAUAUUGCACAAUGGGCGAAAGCCUGAUGCAGCCAUGCCGCGUGUAUGAAGAAGGCCUUCGGGUUGUAAAGUACUUUCAGUUGUGAGGAAGGGGGUAGCGUUAAUAGCGCUAUCUCUUGACGUUAGCAACAGAAGAAGCACCGGCUAACUCCGUGCCAGCAGCCGCGGUAAUACGGAGGGUGCGAGCGUUAAUCGGAAUUACUGGGCGUAAAGCGCAUGCAGGUGGUUCAUUAAGUCAGAUGUGAAAGCCCGGGGCUCAACCUCGGAACUGCAUUUGAAACUGGUGAACUAGAGUACUGUAGAGGGGGGUAGAAUUUCAGGUGUAGCGGUGAAAUGCGUAGAGAUCUGAAGGAAUACCAGUGGCGAAGGCGGCCCCCUGGACAGAUACUGACACUCAGA
rnacentral:rRNA from 1 species